UGUCUAAGUAGGCCCUAGAGAAAGAUUGUUGCGUUGACGUCUCAGCUCCAACAUUGUGUGUAUGACCUUGGACCUUGCUUAACUUCUCCAAGCUUCAUUUCCUUCAUCUAUAAAAAUUUGAAUAAUAAAGGUUGAGAUGCUGUGGUGGAGGGAAAUUUUUUAAAAAAGGUGUUUCUGAGAUUCCAAAAAUGCUGGCUUCUUCCUGUGGACGCCGCAUGCAGACAGUUACAGUGCUCUCUUCUGGUGGAGAUGCAUCAUUAUUCUCUACAUGUUUCAGAUGAUAAUCUCUGUGCUGCUCUUCUCAUGAUGCAAGAAUUCAGUAACAUAUCACUGAAUAUCUCCUGUGUGAAAGACGUUGGCCUGGGAGGACUUUUAGAGACGCG